rnacentral:rRNA from 1 species
CCUACGGGAGGCAGCAGUGGGGAAUAUUGGGCAAUGGGCGCAACCCUGAACCAGCAACGCCGCGUGAGGGAUGAAGGCUUUCGGGUUGUAAACUCCUUUUGUUAGGGAAGAUAAUGACGGUAUCCAACUAGUAUGCACCGGCUAACUCCGUGCCCGCAGCCGCGGUAAUACGAAGGGGGCAAGCGUUAUUCGGAGUGACUGGGAGUAAAGAGCGCGUAGGCGGGAUAGCAAGUCAGAUGUGAAAUCCUCUGGCUGAAACGUAGAACUGCAUUUGAAACUGUUAUUCUAGAGUAUGGGAGAGGUAGGUGGAAUUCUUGGUGUAGCGGUAAAAUGCGUAGAGAUCAAGAAGAACACCAAUUGCGAAGGCGACUUGCUGGAACACAACUGACGCUGAGGCGCGAAAGCGUGGGGAGCAAACAGGAUUAGAUACCCUAGUAGUC